ACUCCUACGGGAGGCAGCAGUGAGGAAUAUUGGUCAAUGGACGAGAGUCUGAACCAGCCAAGUAGCGUGAAGGAUGACUGCCCUAUGGGUUGUAAACUUCUUUUAUACGGGAAUAAAGUAUUGCACGUGUGCCUUUUUGUAUGUACCGUAUGAAUAAGGAUCGGCUAA
rnacentral:rRNA from 1 species